UCAAUGGGCACCAGCCAGCACUGAGCGGAGGAUUCCAAGAAGGAAGGCAGCUACAUAUUCGAAUUAGGGUUCCCACUUACGCAUCGCCAAAAGAAGAUGACGACACAGAUGCUGCGUGAAGUUCCAGUAAUAAAUGGAAAGCUCCUAACGUUCUACAAAAGACCUUGCUUUCUUCUUUUCCUUCUCUGAAGCACAAACAGCGGGAACAAGGAGACAGGGGGCGCGCAUCCAACUGCUCAUCAGAAGACACCUGCUCGCGAGCAACAGGCUCGAGGUCAGAGGGCGCUGCCGCACUGGAAUCCUCCUGGGAACUGCUUGGAAAAGGAGGAGCUGGCACUGACUCUGAAACUUCCCCCCACCCGUUCUCUGCAUCAACUGGGGGCGGUGCGCUCGGCUCCUUGGGAAGGGCGUUACUCGUGGGAACUGGCUGGAGAGCAGGCUGCCCUCCUCCCGUUCGCUCCUGCUCAGACACAACAAUCCCCAACUCUGCUUCUUCUGGCUGCGGAGGUGCCUGAAACUCAUGCCUCCCCCCUUCCUGUCCCUUCUGAGUUGGCUGCAGUGUAACACUGGGUGACAAGGCUGAGCCCACCUGCCCUUCCGACUGCUGUUCAUCCAUCCCAAGCGGAAGAUCAGCAAACACACACUGACCCCAAUGACACUCUCCUCUCCACGAGAGGGAAGGGAAGAGCCAUCACUCCUGACUCUCCAUCCAGAGCUGCCAGAUUCAGGGAAAAGGGAGGCCCUCCCUCGGCCAGCCUGUGUUCCAGUGUCUCAGCCUUCCCCAUCCAAUCCUCCUCUUCUUCCUCGUCCUCCUACACAGUUUGCCAGCCCAAGCCUGAUCCUGAUGUAAGGAUGGGGGGGGACUCAAUUCCAUUUGCAUUUAAAGCCAAAUUUAUCAAAUUUGCAUUUUCCAAAACAUGUGAACCGAAACACAGCCAUCCUUCGAAAUGUGCAGUUAUCUGAAUUUUGUGAUGCAGUUCACCAACUAAGCAAUGUUUGCAAAAAUGCAUAUAUUACAGGAAAGUGUGCAUCAAAACUGAAUAUAUUAGUGAAAAUAACAUACAAAAAUGCACUGUAUUAAGAGAAACUGCUUGCAAAAAAAUGUGUACAAUAGCCAAAACUGCAUACAAAAAUGUGGUUAAUAAGAGAAAUUCUCAGCAAAAUGCUGGAGAAUUUUCACGAGGAUUUAAUCUCAAAAUUGCGCAGAAAUGUGAGAACUGAAUUCAAGACUGGACAAAUGAGAAACUAAGAAAAGCAAAAUGUACAGAUCCUUCCGUCCUUACCCCGAUGGUAUCUUGUCGCUCAUGACAUACAGCUCCCAUCAUCCCUAUCAUAUAAACGUUUGGUAUAAACGCUGUGUGUAGUAAUGCUAACAUUAUUGAUGUUUUGCUGAAUGCCUAUCCUAAUAUACCCAAUCAAGCAGCGAACUUCAGAUGUUGCUGGACUCCAGCUCCCAUCAGCCCCAGCAGGCAUGGCUGAGAGUCAAGGGAUGAUGGGAGUUGUAGUACAACAAGAUCUGGAGGUUCUCCAUCCCUGUGGUGCAAUAUCACAGAGAGAUUCCUGGAUCCCACUGCCAGA